UACGUAGGGGGCUAGCGUUGUCCGGAAUCAUUGGGCGUAAAGCGCGCGUAGGCGGCCCGGUAAGUCCGCUGUAAAAGUCCAGGGCUCAACCCUGGAAAGCCGGUGGAUACUGCCGGGCUAGAGUCCGGAAGAGGCGAGUGGAAUUCCUGGUGUAGCGGUGGAAUGCGCAGAUAUCAGGAGGAACACCUGUGGCGAAAGCGGCGCACUGGACCACAUUUGACGCUGAGGCGCGAAAGCUAGGGGAGCAAACAGG
rnacentral:rRNA from 1 species